rnacentral:rRNA from 1 species
AUUGAACGCUGGCGGCACGCCUAACACAUGCAAGUCGAGCGGCAGCGAGACUAGUAGCAAUACUAGUUGUCGGCGAGCGGCGGACGGGUGAGUAACACGUAGGAAUCUGCCCUUAAGCGGGGGAUAACCAAGGGAAACUUUGGCUAAUACCGCAUAAUCUCGAGAGAGCAAAGCUGCCCGCAAGGGUGGCACUUGAGGAGGAGCCUGCGUCCGAUUAGCUAGUUGGUGGGGUAAUGGCCUACCAAGGCGACGAUAGGUAACUGGUCUGAGAGGACGACAAGUCACGCUGGGACUGAGACACGGCCCAGACUCCGACGGGAGGCAGCAGUGGGGAAUAUUGGACAGUGGGGGCAACCCUGAUCCAGCGAUGCCGCGUGAGUGAAGAAGGCCUUCGGGUCGUAAAGCUCUUUAGGUUGGGAAGAAGUGUAUUGGCUGAAUAAUCCAGUACAUUGACGGUACCGACAGAAUAAGCACCGGCAAACUCUGUGCCAGCCGCCGCCGUAACAC